CUGUGACUUUGUCGAGCUCUCUAGUUUAAUGGAGGAGUCGCGGCUAAUGGGAGAAAGAGCUACGGUGCAAAUCCAACUGUGUUAAGGGAUGUGGGCUCCGUUUUUUUUAUUGGGUCAUCAGGGGUGGGCUCGUUUAUAUGGACUAAUAUAUCUACUCAACCCACUUAGAAGUUGCCACUGCCACUUUCUUCAUCUCCAGGCUCCAGCACCGUCUCUACUUUGCGCUGCACCGCUGCUGUUGUUGUUUCUGCCUUGCACUGCCAGAUUCGCCACUGAUGUAAUCCCUCUUGUCUACUCGCCAUCGUCGUGUUCGUCAUUGCUGGAGCUCGCGUCUUGUUCGGCAUGGACCUUCGACGAGGCUUCCAUGGAUCACAGUAAGGUCUUUGUCAACUCCUUGUAGGUUCUCUUUCAUUCUCGUUAUCACUAUUUCAUUCUCAGCUUAGAUUUACAUUUAUUUUUCACUGUCUUAACCUUUCGGUUACUCUCUGGUUUGAUAGUGAAGAUGAAUUCUAUUUUUCUGAUAAAAUGCGGUGGAAUCGCAUCGUUUCUUAAGCUGUGCGCUUCCAUUGCUAAUUGCAGUUGUUGACUUAAAUUUGAAACCUCAAUUAUAUAUGUUUUUGAAGAGUUUUGUUGUUGUAAAUUGCCAUUACAUAUGUGAAAAAUAUGACGGGUGGAAGAGGUUGCAUUAAAAUCUAGGAUGGAAGUAAGAAACAAUGGUGUUGAGUUCGAAAGGGAAAUCUAAUCAUGUUACUGAAAAUUUGAGAUAUCUUAUACAUUAGAUUAUUAUAAUUGAGGUUACUUUUGACUUAUAUAGUAGAUCCAAAUUAUACUAAUUUGUGACAUUAAGUAAGUUGAAACUCCGGAUGAUAUAAUAUUUUUUUUUGUCGAUUUUUACAGUAUUAUUGUACCUAUAUAUGACUUUUUCUCUUUUUAUUAUUUCUGGUUCGUUGAGUUUGAGGUCCAGUUCCUUGUCUACCUACUGAAAUUUUGGCAUUUGCAAUGGCAAGCUAUAUACAGAAAAGGGAGACAUUUGUCAAUUAUUAGUUUAUUACAUGGAACUACUCGAAUUAGGUGAAGCUGUUGGAACCCAAAGCCGUGGUCUUACCCAAGAGCAAAUUUCGAUGCUUCCAGUUUCAUCAAAGUACAAGUGUGGGUUCUUCUCAAGGAAGAAGUCGAGGGAUGAGAGGCUUGUCCUAUAUGUUACAGAGAAGUGUUUUAGCCAACAGAAAUAAUCUCGGACAAAUUUGUAGAAGUAACAUGCAUAUGAUUCUGUUCUCCUUUAUAAAAUAUUAUAGGACGAUUGACAAUUUGACAUGCAUUGUGUUGUAUUGGAUAACCUGGAUUUCCACCAUUUUUAUAACAUUCUUUAAACUUCUAUCGAUCAGGGUAGUUACAUCAUUGGACAAAUAAGUGAUUAACUU